rnacentral:rRNA from 1 species
UACAGAGGGUGCGAGCGUUGUCCGGAAUCACUGGGCGUAAAGGGCGCGUAGGUGGCGACCCAAGUCGAUGGUGAAAGCUCGCCGCUCAACGGCGAGUCGGCCACCGAUACUGGGUUGCUGGAGCACUGUAGAGGCAGAUGGAAUUCCGGGUGUAGCGGUGGAAUGCGUAGAGAUCCGGAAGAACACCGGUGGCGAAGGCGGUCUGCUGGGCAGUUGCUGACGCUGAGACGCGAAAGCGUGGGGAGCAAACAGG